rnacentral:misc_RNA from 1 species
GAUGAAGAACUUAGCGAAAUGCGAUACUUGGUGUGAAUUGCAGAUCCCGUGAACCAUCGAGUCUUUGAACGCAAGUUGCGCCCGAAGCCAUCAGGUUGAGGGCACGUCUGCCUGGGCGUCACAUAUCGUUGCCCAAUGCCUAUUGCAGUGCAAUAGGAAUUUCUAGGGCGAAUGAUGGCUUCCCGUGAGCGUUGUUGCCUCGCGGUUGGUUGAAAAUCGAGUCCUUGGUAGGGUGUGCCAUGGUAGAUGGUGGUCGAGUUAGAACGAUACCGAUCAUGUGCAUGCUCCCCAAAAUAUGGCCUCUAUGACCCACACGCGUCUUUUGACGCUCAUGACGAGACCUCAGGUCAGGCGGGGCUACCCGCUGAAUUUAAGCAUAUCAAUAAGCGGAGGA